rnacentral:misc_RNA from 1 species
ACGAAAGCACGCGUCUGUGCUCCUGGUGGCACCGCACGCUGUUAUCUUUCGUAGACCUGCACGUCAUCCGCAGUGCACAUGCGCCGAUCUCCUCCUCCCGUGUCUCCCUCGUACGCGUUUGCAGCUCAUGAGUGCGCCCCCGCUUACCUCCGUCACCCCCGCCCUCCUUUAUGCUCUUCUCCUUGGCAUCUUUUCCACGGCCGCUCUUCUUCUUCCUCCGCAUCACUCUUUCGACUGAAAGAGUCCGCAAACACCCUGAGCACAGAAGACUGGUGAAUCGCUUUUACUUCAGGCGCACGGCAACGGGAAAUGCACCGGAGCCACUUCCGCGUCUGGCGAUGCAGUGCGCUGGCGCAGCUGUGCGGCCCUUCCCUCUAUGCUCUCCGGCAGGUCAGCCGGCCUGCGUACACCCGAUCCUCUAGCCCUCUCAGAUCCGAUUUCAACCUUAGACAGCACCGUAGCCCUGACGGGGCAGAUCGUGAACCGCAACGCCAGCUCCAGUCGAAGCUGUCCAGGAGUGCUAAGGUCCCAGUAUAUACGCGUGACAGAGAAGAGCGACUAGCCCAGCAGGCUCCCCCGUCACCCGUGGCCUCAUAUCACGACGACAGCAUCACGAGUGUCGUGCAUGAAAGCGCUCCAGGGCUUUCUGAUAGGCAGACGGCAAGCGCCGCACGCUCGCGGGUGGCGUCUUUGUCUUCGUCUCCGCGUACACGGCACAUUCGAAGACAAUCACAUGAGAAAGACCCUGUCGUGUCUUCUGCAACGGUGUUGCGCUACCUGGAGAAGCGUAACUCGCCUUACGUCUCCACAUUGCGCAAGCGUGUUACGCCGAGGCACACCGGCACACACGGUGCCAUCGAAGAUCCGAACUCGGCUUAUCAGUCAGACGAUCAGCGCCGUGCAGCAACUGACCUCCGCGCUGAAGAAACGCGCAGCAUUGAACGCGACGGCUACGACCCCGCACUGGUCGUACAUGUCGACUCCCGCCGCCGGCAGGUGCGGCUGAAUGACGUCCAGCGCGAGCUCAUCUGGAAGGCGCGGCAGAAGCAGUACCACGACAUGCUCCAGCGGAUGGUUGCCUGCCUUCAGUCCCACCGCAGCCCCAUCGAGAAGUGCCAAACCAUCUACGGCCUUCACGACGAAGUGAUUGAAAGGCAUCUGCGGCUGCGCGCCGACACCUACGAGGACAUCUUCCACACGCUCUACAGCGUUGGUGUGAGGCGAGGCGGUGGAGCGGGACAGCCCGGCAAGGCGUCUCUGGGCUCCAGCGCACAGCUUGUCAGCGGCGGUGCCGGGUGGGAGAACUGCUGCGGGCAGGAAGGCUCGCUUUGGGGCAGUGGCGGGGCACUGCCUGCCGAGCUUACCACGCCCUCGGCAGCCUCCAGCACCGUCCUGAGUCCCCACGGCAUGGAGAAAGUAUGGGAGAUGUACCGCUAUCUCGUGGAUAGCGGCACCGACCCGACACCACGCAUUCUCCAGUACGUGAUGGGCCUGCUGGAGCAUGCCUCCGUCUCCCUCGCGACGGCGCGGUCGCACACCACCGCAGACGCUAGUGGCACUCCUACCACGCACGGACGUCAUCGCGCGCGGUGCUCCGGCCUUAUACUGGUCGAAGCCAAGGCUCACUCUCUCAUGAUGGAUGCGGAUCGUUUUCACCUGACCCCAACGGAGUACACCGUGAAUUCAUACAUCGCCAUCUGCGAAGCGUGCGACGUGAUGCACCUCGCCGUGGCCCGCGUAACAGACUACCAGACAAGGCAAGAGCGGCAAGCAUCACCUGGCAUGUAUGCUCGCCUCCUCACGGGGCUUGUGCGCUGUGGCCAUUACACGGACGCAAUGGCGGUAGUGACUACCAUGCAAAACGUUGCGAUGACUACCUACCUCGUUAACGCUGUCCUCCAGGCAGCACGGCACUCCCGCGACCCCGCAAGCGUCUUUGCCUUUUACCGCUCUCUCUUCUUCGCUCCGUCGAAUCCUCUGCGCGUCAGUGGCGACGGCGACCACGAGCGGGGCGGCGGCGCUGGCAAGGCACCGCGUCCCUGGCGCAUCAGUGCCACUUCUCGAUCUGCCACUGGCUUGGUGCCCUCCCUUGUCACCUUCUCUAUCAUGGCAGAGGUGAUGCUGCAGACCCAGGACUACACGGAACUCACGUUUGUGAUUGCCGAGAUGCAGCACUACGGUGUCAAGGGAAACGGACUCCUCCUGAACAAGCUCUUGAAGAUGAUGCACAGGGCGGGGCGUCCACGAUCGGAGGUUCGUGCUCUCCAAAGUGCCAUGGACGCGAAGCAGGUGCGUGUCUUCGACGAAAACAGAAUAGGUGGGCACGUACCCUCUCUGGAAUGAGCCACCUGGUGUUGGUGAGUGUGCGCCUUUACCUGUGGCCGUGGAUGAAGCGCACCUCCUUUACUCACCACACGUCGCCGGCACGGUAACCUACUCACAUGUGUUCUCAGGGGUCGGCAGAG